AAAUUGAAGAGUUUGAUCAUGGCUCAGAUUGAACGCUGGCGGCAGGCCUAACACAUGCAAGUCGAACGGUAACAGGAAGCAGCUUGCUGCUUUGCUGACGAGUGGCGGACGGGUGAGUAAUGUCUGGGAAACUGCCUGAUGGAGGGGGAUAACUACUGGAAACGGUGGCUAAUACCGCAUAACGUCGCAAGACCAAAGAGGGGGACCUUCGGGCCUCUUGCCAUCAGAUGUGCCCAGAUGGGAUUAGCUAGUUGGUGAGGUAACGGCUCACCAAGGCGACGAUCCCUAGCUGGUCUGAGAGGAUGACCAGCCACACUGGAACUGAGACACGGUCCAGACUCCUACGGGAGGCAGCAGUGGGGAAUAUUGCACAAUGGGCGCAAGCCUGAUGCAGCCAUGCCGCGUGUAUGAAGAAGGCCUUCGGGUUGUAAAGUACUUUCAGCGGGGAGGAAGGUGUUGUGGUUAAUAACCGCAGCAAUUGACGUUACCCGCAGAAGAAGCACCGGCUAACUCCGUGCCAGCAGCCGCGGUAAUACGGAGGGUGCAAGCGUUAAUCGGAAUUACUGGGCGUAAAGCGCACGCAGGCGGUCUGUCAAGUCGGAUGUGAAAUCCCCGGGCUCAACCUGGGAACUGCAUUCGAAACUGGCAGGCUUGAGUCUUGUAGAGGGGGGUAGAAUUCCAGGUGUAGCGGUGAAAUGCGUAGAGAUCUGGAGGAAUACCGGUGGCGAAGGCGGCCCCCUGGACAAAGACUGACGCUCAGGUGCGAAAGCGUGGGGAGCAAACAGGAUUAGAUACCCUGGUAGUCCACGCCGUAAACGAUGUCUACUUGGAGGUUGUGCCCUUGAGGCGUGGCUUCCGGAGCUAACGCGUUAAGUAGACCGCCUGGGGAGUACGGCCGCAAGGUUAAAACUCAAAUGAAUUGACGGGGGCCCGCACAAGCGGUGGAGCAUGUGGUUUAAUUCGAUGCAACGCGAAGAACCUUACCUGGUCUUGACAUCCACAGAAGAAUCCAGAGAUGGAUUUGUGCCUUCGGGAACUGUGAGACAGGUGCUGCAUGGCUGUCGUCAGCUCGUGUUGUGAAAUGUUGGGUUAAGUCCCGCAACGAGCGCAACCCUUAUCCUUUGUUGCCAGCGGUUAGGCCGGGAACUCAAAGGAGACUGCCAGUGAUAAACUGGAGGAAGGUGGGGAUGACGUCAAGUCAUCAUGGCCCUUACGACCAGGGCUACACACGUGCUACAAUGGCGCAUACAAAGAGAAGCGACCUCGCGAGAGCAAGCGGACCUCAUAAAGUGCGUCGUAGUCCGGAUUGGAGUCUGCAACUCGACUCCAUGAAGUCGGAAUCGCUAGUAAUCGUGGAUCAGAAUGCCACGGUGAAUACGUUCCCGGGCCUUGUACACACCGCCCGUCACACCAUGGGAGUGGGUUGCAAAAGAAGUAGGUAGCUUAACCUUCGGGAGGGCGCUUACCACUUUGUGAUUCAUGACUGGGGUGAAGUCGUAACAAGGUAACCGUAGGGGAACCUGCGGUUGGAUCACCUCCUUACCUGAAAGAAGC
rnacentral:rRNA from 2 species